GAGUUUGAUCUUGGCUCAGAUUGAACGCUGGCGGCAGGCCUAACACAUGCAAGUCGAGCGGAUGACGGGAGCUUGCUCCUUGAUUCGAGCGGCGGACGGGUGAGUAAUGCCUAGGAAUCUGGCCUGGUAGUGGGGGACAACGUUUCGAAAGGAACGCUAAUACCGCAUACGUCCUACGGGUAGAAGCAGGGGACCUUCGGGCCUUGCGCUAUCAGAUGAGCCUAGGUCGGAUUAGCUAGGUUGGUGGGGUAAUGGCUCACCAAGGCGACGAUCCGUAACUGGUCUGAGAGGAUGAUCAGUCACGACUGGAACUGAGGA
rnacentral:rRNA from 1 species